GAAUUUGAAAAGGUUUGGAAGAUUCUGGACUUGCUAUCUGCGGCAUCCUAGCAGCAACCACAGAACAGCUGAUGUCAGUAUCUGCAUCAAGGGCCAAAGACACGCUAGAUGCACUGAGGGAAAGCUGCUUGAGGGACAGAAGAAGUCCACCACAUUAUCAGGGGAACCUCCUGAAAACCCCAGGAAGAGGACUUCUAGGACUUGUGAUACCAUCCCAGCAUCUCCCUUGGACUCAUCCCAUUCAUUCACUUGGCAUGUGAUAGUGAAUAGGCCACUGGCCUUGGAGUCAGAAGACUUGGAUCAAGUCCCAGAUGAAUGAAUAUGUUGCUUCCUGGUUGUGGGACUUUUGGCCAGCUCCAGCACCACCUCCUUCAUGAAGACUUCACUGAUCUCCUCAAUUGAAAGUGAUCUCUUCCUGUUCUCCCUGG